rnacentral:lncRNA from 1 species
CACCACUGCACUCCAGCCUGGGCAAUCGAAGUGAGACUCUCUCAAAGAAAAAAAAAAAAAGAAAGAAAAAGAAAAAAAAAUAAAGACAGGAAGAAAGAGAAUGGUUUUACAGGAUGCCGGGAAAGCAUAACUACUCAAUUUUGCUUCAAAGCUGGAUGGUGAUUUUAACUCCAUAAUAACCUGUGCUAAUUUAUGUAUAACCUUGCAUCUACUGGGACGUGAACCUGUAAACUCCUAUGGGGAGAGAGGUUUUAAUUUCUUACAGUUUCUCAGGAGCAUCUGAGACCCUCAAAAGGCUAUAGCAACAGGCGGGGUGAAAGAAGAAAUGCCAGUUUUACAGCCAGAGAACCUCGUUUCCAAUAAUUCUGGACUUGGCUUUGCUCACCUAUACAGUAGGUUGAUGAAAGUAACACCUACUUCACAGGGUUGGUGUAGGGAUUGGUGAAAUAAUGUCUGGGAAUGCACUUCGGAGCCCUACACAAAUGUUGGUCAUUAUAUUGUUAAUAAUGUCUUACAUUUUAUUAAGCGCAUUAUAUUGUCUUCCACACAGAUCAACGAGGCAGGCAAAGGAGGCAGUGUAAUUUUUUCCCAUUUUACGGAUGAAGAAACCGAAAUUCAAGUGAUUUGCUCAAGUUCACACAGCUGUUUAGGGUCAGCCAAGUCCAAGUUAAACAACAUAAUGUAAAUAUGUACCCAAAUGCUAAGCGCCCUCCCUUCCUCCCUGUCUCCUGAGUUUCGGGUUGAAAUACCCAGCUCACGCAAGCCAAAAUAUUUGAGGGUCCUGGCCCAUCCAUCCCAACCACGCACAGCAGUGACAGCUGCCCCGUGUACCAGACCUGACUGAGGGAUGGCAAGGCUGCAGGGAGGGGCUUCCCGCUCCGAGGCCCCGCCUUCUGGUGGCCCCAGCAGGAAAGCGCCGGCGGCAACGGGUCUCCGUAGCCGGCGAUGGAAAUCCCCAGGCCUGGUCCCUGGGCGGCUCAUUCCAGGGUUCCUUUAUUUUUGGACCUAAAAAAACCACACCAGCUUUUGCUGAGGACAGCGCUGGGCUCUCCCAUCCUGGCACACGGGCAAAGAGAGGAAGCGGGGAGGAGGCAGGAACCAGACGCGACUCCCCGUGCCUUUCUUCCCCUCCCUGUUCCCCGCCCCUCCAGGAAGAAAUCAGUCAGAGAUCCAUCCCUCGCUGUGGCCACUGUGCCUGCACCAACCACUACGCCCGCCCUCCUUUUCCUUCCACCCGAUUUUGCACUGAGAGCCCGACUGCCCGCGCGCCCCAGGCUGGGCAGGUCCUGGCAGGCGGUGCAGGCUCCCCUCCCCCGGGGCUUCUCAGCGAAUCACGUCGUUCCUGGGAUUUCAUGCUCGAGUGGCUCUUGCGUAACCCUACGCCCUGGCCUAAGUUAAUACUUUUUUUUCCCCAAAUACCGGGAUUACUCCUUUAGGGAAAGGCAAAUACUUCCGCCACGGAAUGGGCCUGGGAGUAAAAGCGUAAAUCAUCUUGCUGUCUCCCUUCCCCCACCCUCUACAGCCCCUUUGCGCGUCUCUACAGGCCCAGGGCUCAAACUGCGCCUCUGGGGUUCCUGGCGCGCGGUGAUCAGGGGCCAUGGAAAGGCCAGAGGAGGGCCCAGCCCAGACGUUUGUUUUCAUCUUCUCCGAGGCGGAUCUCGCAGGCCAGAGAAGUGGGUCCCGCUUACCGCGGGGCUGUUACCAAAAAAGGCCUUUCUUUCGCUGGAGCGCUUGGCGGCGCGCGUUGCAGCGGGGUGACGCGAGGUUCAGCCCGGGCCUCCUCGAAGGUUGAGCCAGCUGACUGCAGGGAUGCCAGGCCAAGAGUACCCCCCGCCCCCCCCAACCCACCCGCCCCGUCUCUGCCACAAAACGGCGGGGACAGAAGACUGCAGGGAGCUUCGAAGUGCGCGCCUAGCGACCUUCUCACCACUAGUAACCUUGGGCUAUGGUGCUCCGGAAAGGCCAGGUGGAAAGCUGACCUUUUGCUCCAGUUUACAGCAGGGUUCUCUGAGGAUGCCAGCCCAGAUGGCAAGCUGGGUGGGGAAAGCGACAUAGGAAGGAACUUUGGGAAGACGAUGUCGCCGUUUGGCGCCCGGCUCUGCUAGUCUCGGCUUGUCUCCCAGACCCCAUGGACAGAGUUCUGUGAGUCUCUGCACGUGGCAGUUUACGUUGAGGCUCCUCCACCUCCACCAACCCCCUCCCAAAUCCUUUCCAGUUCCUUUCCACUGUUGUCAUAGUUUUGUUGCACGGGACUCUUCUUCGGGGAGAAAACCCACCUCCAGAACAUUGGAGUUCUUGCCUCUCACCGUCUCUCACACAUCCUCAAACGGCCAUCUCAGACAGGCAACAUGAGAUACCACAAAUGAUGGUGAUUUUUUUGGGGGGGUGGGGUGUUUGGAGAGAGCUGUGUUUUAUGAAUUAAAGGAUUAUGAGACUGUAAUGGAAGUCUGUUUAAAUACACGUUGAUUUCUAACUCAGUGUGUCUGAAGGCACCCCGGCAUGUAUGUGUGUAUAUAUAUCUCCUUUAGUAACAGUGAAGACAGAGACAGACAGGGAGAUGGAGACAUAUGUGUGUGCAUACCAAACAUAACACCAUGACAUAGAAUCCAACUUGCCUUCUCCAGCCUGGCUGGAGGGUUGUGGCUAAGUUGCUAUUUUCCCAAUAUUUUUGGUUUAAUAAAGCGAAGGGCUGAAUAAAUAUUAAUGUAAAG